rnacentral:rRNA from 1 species
GUGCAGCAGUCGAGAAUCUUUAGCAAUGCCCGAAAGGGUGACUAUGCGACGCCGCGUGAGCGAUGAAGUCCUUCGGGACGUAAAGCUCUGUCAGGUGGGAUGUAAUUUUUCGACCUUAACAGGGUUGGAAUUUGACCGUACCACCAGAGGAAGCCACGGCUAACUCCGUGCCAGCAGCCGCGGUAAUACGGAGGUGGCAAGCGUUGUUCGGAUUUAUUGGGUGUAAAGGGCAUGUAGGUGUCCUAGUAAGUCCUGGCUGAAAUCCGUUCGGCUCAACCGAAGAACGUGUCAGG